rnacentral:rRNA from 1 species
GGAGUUAGCCGGUGCUUCUUCUGCGAGUAACGUCACAGAUGUAAGGUAUUAACUUACACCCUUUCCUCCUCGCUGAAAGUGCUUUACAACCCGAAGGCCUUCUUCACACACGCGGCAUGGCUGCAUCAGGGUUUCCCCCAUUGUGCAAUAUUCCCCACUGCUGCCUCCCGUAGGAGUCUGGGCCGUGUCUCAGUCCCAGUGUGGCUGAUCAUCCUCUCAGACCAGCUAGGGAUCGUCGCCUAGGUGAGCCUUUACCUCACCUACUAGCUAAUCCCACCUGGGCUUAUCCAUCAGCGCAAGGCCCGAAGGUCCCCUGCUUUCCCCCGUAGGGCGUAUGCGGUAUUAGCAGUCGUUUCCAACUGUUAUCCCCCACAAAUGGGCAAAUUCCCAGGCAUUACUCACCCGUCCGCCGCUCGUCAUCUUCAAAAGCAAGCUUUUGAAAUGUUACCGCUCGACUUGCAUGUGUUAGGCCUGCCGCCACGCGUCAUCUGAGCAUAAUACAACUACUACGA